UACGUAGGGGGCAAGCGUUGUCCGGAAUCAUUGGGCGUAAAGCGCGUGUAGGCGGCCCGAUAAGUCCGCUGUGAAAGUCCAGGGCUCAACCCUGGGAUGCCGGUGGAUACUGUCGGGCUCGAGUCCGGAAGAGGCGAGUGGAAUUCCUGGUGUAGCGGUGAAAUGCGCAGAUAUCAGGAGGAACACCAAUGGCGAAGGCAGCUCGCUGGGACGUGACUGACGCUGAGACGCGAAAGCGUGGGGGAGCAAACAGG
rnacentral:rRNA from 1 species